CUCUUUCCCCAAAUUAAGAAAACCUAUUUUUUUUCUCAGUCUUCGCCUUUUGUUGCCCUUAUGCCUCUGUCUCUUGUCGUCACUACUCCGACAUUCUUCACCACCUCGUCGUUAGUGCUCCAGCAUUGUUCACCACUGGUGUGUUCUUUCUCCUGUUGUCUUCUUUUUCUUUUCUCUCAUUUUUUUCUUCUUUUCCAUUUCAACUCUAAGUGUGUUUUGUGUUUUUCGUUUUAGCUCUAACCUUCACCACAAUUGUUCCAUGAAGUCCACCUCCACCUCUUGCUCCACCACAUUCAGCUGCCAGUGCCUUCACCGUCGCUGCUCCAAUGUCAUUCAUCUGAGGUAAACUUUUAAAAUUUCAAAAAUUUUGAUAAUUUUUUUUUGUGUGAAUACUAGUGUUUAUGUGAAUUUAUGUGAUUGUGCUUGAGUUUAUGUAAAUGAUUUUACUGCAAACAUAAUUCUGUUUUGAUAAUAAAAAAAUGUUCAUUUUAAUUUUACUAAAACUAAUUUAAUAGGAUUUAGGGUUUCAAUUUAAUUAAAACUGAUUUAAUAAGAUUUGAAGGUUAAAGUUUUCUUAAAAAAAAAAUGGAACUGAGAAUAAAAGGAGAAGUAAUUAAUAAAAAAAGGAAAGGUAAUUAAUAUAAAAAGUGAUAAUUUUUUUGGAAAAAAAUUUAUUACCAUUUAAAAAUAAUUUAGGAAAUUAUGUUUUUUAUUUUUUUUUUCAUUUAAUAUCUUUUAAUAAUUAACUACAGAUUUAGAAUUUUUUUUUUCAUUGAUUAUGUUGUAAUUAAUGGUUAUGUUGUAAUAAUUAAGUACAUUACAAAUUUAGAAGUUUAAUUUUUUUUCCUUUGAUGAUUAUGUUGUAACAAUUAAAUACAUUUAGAAGUUUUUCAUUUUUUCGUAGUGUUUAAAAAAAAUAUUGCUGCUGCUGAGAGUAAAGUUUUUCAUUUUUCCAUUGGUUAUUUAAAAAAAAAAUUAAAAUGUGAUGGGUGUACAAAAUAAAUAGGUGCUGCAGAGAGUAAAAGUCAUGGGCAGAGAUUGGGCCAUGUUUUUCUAGAAAAUGUUACAAAUAGUGAUUUGGGGGUGUAUAAAUUAAAUAGGGGCUGCAUAGAGUAGAAGCGAUAGGCAACGGAAUGGGGCCAUGUUUUUCAUUAAUAUGUUGCAAAAUAGUGAACUGGUAGGUCUAGAAAACAAAUAGAGACUGCAUAGAGUAAAAGUUUUGGACAGAAGAAUGGGCCCAUAUUUUUCAAGAAAAUGUUACAAAUAGUGAUGUGGGGUGUAUAAAUUUAAUAGGGGCUGCAUAGAAUAAAAGUGAUGGGCAGAAUAGACUAAAAGUUAUAGGCAGCAUAAUGGACCCAUGUUUUUCAUAUCAAUAUGUUGGAAGUAGUGAUGUGGGGGUGUAUAUAAAAUAAAUAUGGCCUGCAUAGAGUAAAAGUGAAGCGCAGAAAAAUGGGCCAAUAUUUUCCAUUAUUAUUUUGCAAGUAGUGAAGUAGUGGGUAUGGAAAAUAAAUUGGCCCAAGUUUCAAAUAACUAAAAUAUUUUAAAAAUUGUGAUAGAUAAAAAAUGAAUUAAGAGAGUAAACUUAUUUCAUUUUUAUAUGUACGUGGUAAAUGAAAUCAUGAUGUAUGUAUUAUGUUGUAUGAGUUACGAUGUUUAUACAUAGGCAUUAAAUGAAAUUAUGAUGUAUGUAUUACGUUGUUUAUACGUACGCGUUAACUAAAAUUUUGAUGUAUGAAUUAUUGUAUUAUAUUUAGCUCAAACCUUAUUUUAUCCUAUUUGAUUAGGAUUUUCAAAUACAAAAAUUCUUAAACUACUACGAUAAUUAAUUUCGAUGUAUGAAUUAUUGUAUUAUAUUUAGCUCGAACGUUAUUGUACUGGCCAGACCUUGGACAUCGGCUGAAGAAGAGGCCGACAUCAGACGUCAACAUCGGACCUCGGUGGUCUGACAGUAAUAAUGGGCCACUAAGCUGGGCCUCACAAAUAGUAUGAGUUAACACCCAGAUAUGAGAAAGACCUAAAUCGCGAGAGGAUCAGGCAUGGGGUGUGUAUAGUACAUUCUGGUACGACACAAGCAAGUGUUCCCUGGAGGCGCUAAGGCCCGUAAGGGUUAGGGUUUCCAAGGAAAGAUUGCAUGCAUGGCACGUGAAUAAUUAGGGCACCCACAGAACAGAUGGCGCCACAGUGCUGGUACAUGAGUUGGUACCCUGGCGGCUAUACUGUUAAGAGAUAUUGCACUCCAGAAGAGGCAAGUCUUGUGUUGCGGCUGCGCUAAGCUUGUGCAACAAGUCGCAAGAUGCCUCACCAGUAACCCUAAUUCCACUUAAGGAAAGAUCCUUGUGGGACAGGGAAGUUAACUUAAUCACAACCCAUAUAAAGGGUGGUAAGAACCCUAGAAAGGUAUGCCGUUUCUAAGACUGAAACUGUUUUACAUACUUAUUGUUUUCUAGCCCAGUACUGACUUGAUCGUCGGAGUGCAAUCAACAUGUAGGGCCCCCUCUGUUUCAACGGAGCCACUCUCAACUACCCAAGGAGAGAACGGAAACCACCAGGAGAUAGGAGGAGCCACCAUCUGCCUUUGAAGUCAACGGCGGUUGAGUCAACCAGCGAGAACAAUUAUUGUAUACUAUUCGUCUAGGAUUUACAAAUACAAAAUUAUUACACUAACACAAUAAUAAUUACAUGAAUUAAUAUGUUUUAAAUAUUUACAUACUAAGUUUAAACAAUUAAGUUCACAUGUGACCUGCAGUGCAUUGGAAAAUGAUAUCCACAUGAUUCAUGUAUUAGAACGUCUGCAGGGUAUAAGUAUACUAUUAAGUGUUGAUAAUUUAAUCAUCAACAUGUAGAACAAUGGAUUGAGAUUGAAUGUAUGAAAUGCUUGAUUCUUUAAGAAGAUUGAGAUAACCCUUCAUAGAUGUUGUUCAUGAUUUUGUUUCUAAGGCAAUGAAUCAAGUUUCAUACAUACCAGAUGGAAGGGUAAGGUGUCUGUCUGUGAAAUGUUGUUGUGAGAAAAUUCUCAAACCUUCUCAUGUCAGGAGUCAUCUGUUUCAACAUGCUUUUAACCCAACUAUAGGGUAUGGGUUUUAUCACAGAGAAGUAUGGACAAAUGAGGUUAACUUAAACAUUGCAUUCACUAGUUAUCAUAACAUAAGGCGUGAUGAUUAUUUUGGGUCAUUAGCCGAAAUGGUGAACAAUGCAUACAUGCAAGAAAGUGAUAUAAAAACUCGCUAUGUCAAUGUUAUCAAGGAUGUAGAAGAGCAACCUAACACUGAAGCACAAAAGUUUUAUGAUAUGUUAGCAUCUGCUCAUGAACCCAUUUAUGAUGGAGCAACUCAAUCUAAAUUAUCAAUAGCCAUAAGGCUUUUCGGCGCUAGAACCAAUUGGCACACAACUUAAAAUUGUUUAGAUUAUUUCAUUGAAAUGUUACUUGAUGUAGCUUCAAUAGAGAAUUGCAUACUCAAGACUUAUUAUGAAGCAAAAAAAGUUGUCUCUACUCUUGUCUUGAAGGUUGUCAAGAUGAUUGUUGUGAGGUUGGAUGCAUGUUGUAUUACAAGGACGACAUCAAACUAAAUGAGUACAAAUUGUGUGGUCUUCCUAGGUACUUACCUCCAAAGGGUAAGAAUAAAACGUAUAAAAGAGUGGUGAUAAAAAGAAUGUUUUAUUUGUCUGUCCUUCCAUGAUUACAAAAGACUAUAUACGUCAAUGGAGUCACCAAGCCAAACGUGAUGGCAUUUUGAAAACAAAACUAAUGAUGAUGUAUUGUGACAUCCCUAUGAUGGGAAUGCUUGGAAACAUUUUGAUAGUGUAUAUGCAAGCAUAUUUGAUGUGGACAAUUAAUGAUUUUCCAGCAUAUGUGAUGUUUUCAGGGUGUGGGACUAAAGGGAAAUUAGCUUGUGCUUAUUGUAUGGAGGAUAUAAAAGCAUUCACGUUAAAGCAUGGAGGUAAAAGUUCUUGGUUUGACUGUCAUCGACAAUUUUUGCCAACCAAUCAUCCUUUUAAGAGGAUUCAGAGGAGAUUCCUUAAAAAUAAAGUUGAAAUGGAUAACCCACCAGUCUUAAAUGGAAAUAAAUUAUGGGAGAUUCUUUGUGACUUCCCAAAAGUAGCAUAUGGUCCACCCUACUCUAGCUUAUUAUUCUCUUUGGACCCCCAAAAAGAGCCAAAAGUAUUUGCAUAAACUUAUCUUGUAAAAAGACCAUAAGAAAGAAGAUCUGAUGCUCUGGCCUAUGUCUAGUUCUUCUUCUGUUGAGGCCUUCUGAUGUUUUGUGGGGCCUGGUCUUGUAUGCUGAGAUGACUGACCUAAUUCUAAAGUGUCAGUUGUGUCCUUAGUCAUCUGCUUGUCGAGGUGGUUUGUAUCAUACACCCCCCCUAAGUUGAAAACAAUUUGAACUCGAAUUUAGAACUUCUGUAAAUAACAUAGUUAGUUUGUUCACAGGAUAGAUAGAAAAAUUCCUAGCAGCGAGUGGUGAAUCAAACUUAUGUUCAUGAAGUUUUGGGAGUUCGCAUGGAUGAGUUUUAGAUACAUGCCAUGUUUGUACAGGAUGUUUUGGGAGGAAAUUAUUUGUUUGUGAAAAUCCUUUUAAAAGGUGAGAACCCUUAGGAGGUUUUUUAAUAUCAUCCCUAAACUUCUUUAUCAAAGAUGUCAAAUAUUUAGAAUGAUUUGGUAAUGAAAAAGACAAGGAAGAAGUAUACCUAGGAGGCACAUUUAGUUUUGUUCGAGUCAACAUUAUUGUUUUGACUGCGUGAGACAAGAUGAUGAGACACGUUUUGAUUUUUACUUUCCUCACCUUUUUCAUUUUCUCUUUUGGUUUUCAGUUUUACUUGGUCCUCAUUAACUUCCUUGGGAGAAAGGUGUUUUAAUAUAACUUUUUGCCCUUGAAAGUUGAAGAAAUCUUAAUGGUAUGACCAUCAUGUAAAAUUUUUCUAUCAUAUUGUUAAGUCCUUCCCAAUAGAAUAUGUAUUGCUUCCAUUGGUACACCAUCACAUAAAACCUCAUCUUUAUACUUUUCGAUAGAAAAAGUUAUGAGGACUUAUUUAUUAACCAUAAUUUCACCCUCUUCAUUAAGUCAUUGUAGUUUAUAAGGCUUUGUAUCAGAGAUGGUGGGUAAUCCAAGUUUCUCCACUACUCUUGUACUUGCCACAUUAGCACAAUUACCCCCAUCUACGAUCAUGGAACAUAACUUGUUUUUUAUAAGGCAGUGGGUGUGGAAAAUAUUUUCUCUUUGGGUUUCAUCAAAAGAUUUUAGAAUCAUACCCAAUAGUCGCUUUACCAUCAAUAAGUCACCUUCACAAGGUAUCUCACAUUCAUUUUCACUAGGGAUUUUUUAAGCAGCAGGGGAGUUAGACCUAGAGGAUUAAUCACUAUGGCCACUGACUACUAUCCCCCAUUUUACCAUCAUGGUUCUUUUGUUAGGGAAAUUUGCAGAGAUAUGACCAAAACCUAAAAUAUUUGGAAGGUAUUAUUAUAUCUGUUAAUUUUGUAUUUUUAACCUAAGUUGUUUCUUUUGGAUCAAAACAGAAAACAAAAUCUGAAAUAAAGAAUUAGAGAAUUAAAUCCGUAAUAUCUCUCACAACAAUGUUGGAAUCAAUUACAAUCAAUGCACAAAUAUGAAGAAAAUUGGAAACAAUAUAUCUGGAAGAGAAGCAAGAAUAAAAUUUGAGACUAUUUGGGAAUGAAGAUGUUUAAUAAUUUGAAAUAGAAAAGGAAACAUCUGAUAAUUGUAAAACAAUAUCAUAAGGCCGAUUUUUAAUAUGAUUUUGUUCAAGGGAAAGAAGAUUAAAAAAGAGACUUUAGAGGAAGGAAGAAACAACUUUGUGGAUCGCCUUUAAGAGGAACAAACACAUUCUAGACCUAGUUUUCUUUUCUUCUUUGUAAUUAUUUUGAUUUGCCUCCGCAUGGAAGACUAAUCCUUUUUGGUUGAUUCCUUUGUAUUUUCCCAUUGAGUUAUGAGGUUUUGGUCCAUAAAAGUUUCGAUUUCUAAUUCUCUAUAAUAGUUGUUUUAAUAGUCUUAUCUCCUGGAAAACUGGUUUUUGUUAGAGGUUGUAUUUGAAUGCAUUAUUGAGAGUCUUCCUUAUCUUAAACUUUUGUUUCUUAGUUAGUUUGCAUUGUUCUAAUUAAUUUCUUGGGCGCAUGAUUCAAGGGACACGAGAUAAGCAUUCCCAUGGAGUAUACGCAUGGAACAAAGUGGGUAUUGAUUAAACCAAUAGACGCAUGUUUUACUAGUGAGCGUCAGUUGAAUUAGAUUGGCGCAUGUUCAAUUUGGUUUAGCUCUAUUGGAGGAUUAAGAAAAGAAUAAUCUUUAGAGAACCUGUGAAGAAUUCAAUGGUGGAAGAACUUGGGGAUCAACCGCUUUUUAUUUGCUAUUUUAAUCUCAAUUAUAUUUUCUGCACAACUAUCUCAACCCCCUUUUAUUAUUAUAAUUGUUAACUUUUAU
rnacentral:lncRNA from 1 species